CACGCAGGCUGAAUUAUAAGUCGGUAGUAAAAGGCGGGGCUCAACUUCCGUAUAUCUAUCGAUACUGUAAAUCUAGAGUAUGUGAGAGGGAAGCGGAAUUCCCGGUGUAGCGGUGAGAUGCGUAGAUAUCGGGAGGAACACCAGUGGCGAAGGCGGCUUCCUGGCACAAUACUGACGCUCAUGUGCGAAAGCUAGGGCAGCGAACG
rnacentral:rRNA from 1 species